GCAAGUAUAGCAUAAUGGAAAUGCCUUCGCCUUCCAAGCGAGAGGAUGUGUGUUCAAAUCACCCUACUUGCA